rnacentral:rRNA from 1 species
GACGAACGCUGGCGGCGUGCUUAACACAAGCAAGUCGAGCGGAGCGGCGAACGGGUGAGUAACGCGUGAGUAAAUGCCCCCCUCUCUGGGAAAACAGUUGGAAAAGGCUGCUAAUACCGGAUAGUGGGGGAUGACUCGCGUCCUAUUAGCUUGUUGGUGGGGGAGUGGCCCACCAAGGAGACGUCGGGUAGCCGGCCUGAGAGGGAGACCGGCCACAUGGGGAUGGGAUACGGCCCAAACUCCUACGGGAGGCAGCAGUGGGGAAUAUUGCACAAUGUGGGAAACCAUAAUGCGGCAACGCCGCGUGCGGGAUAACGGCGUUCGGGUUGUAAACCGCUUUCAGCCAUGACGCGGUAGUGGCAGAAGAAGCACCGGCUAACGACGUGCCAGCAGCCGCGGUAAUUC